GGGCGGGUAGCUCAGCGGAAGAGCGUCCGGUUUACACCCGGGAGGUCCCAGGUUCGAAACCUGGUCCGCCCACCA
rnacentral:tRNA from 1 species